AACAACCGCUCCCUAUCUGGCGGUAGGAGAUAGACAGACAGUGUGCGACGGAGGGAGAGAGCGAGAGAGCCGGAGGCAGAGUGAGAUAGAGAGAGGCGCGGCGGUGAUGGACGAACCGGCUAUGGUCUCCGGCCGCCGGUAAUGUUGUUGAUCGUCGCUGAAUGGGAACUUGACGGUCGGGGCUUCUAGGGUUCCGGCGUCGGUACCGGUGACUCUAAUCGGUGGAUUCUGGAGACGGAAUGGGAGACUUGAAGGUGAUCUUAAACAACCACAACCUCAAAUACUUGAAUCAUGUUUCGACGACAAUUGUAAGCACUUUUGGUCUGUAUGUCUCCAUUUAUUCGGUAGAUCACACUUUCCUCUUUGCGGUGAAAUUAUGCGAGGUGAUAUCGAACAGGCGGCGGAAGAUACCACCGGCGGUGGAACAAGUCACCGACAGAAGGAUUAUGUUUCACACUUUCACCUAGCAAGGAGACCAGGUUUAAUACUAGCAGCGACGAUGAAAGUUUUCGGCUCCAAAUGCUUAGCCCUCUUAGGACGAGAUCCAAAGUGACGAAUGCUAAUCAGCAGCGCGUCGGGUUGGAAAGCUAUGGCGGUGGGGUUUCGGUCGGAGAAGAUAUGUAGCAAAGAUGAAAAACGGGCUGGAUCCGGAAUUUUGGUAUGUAAGUUUCACAAAAGUGUGUGUAGGCUGUAAGACGGUACGAUGGGGGAUUGAAAAUGGGGCGUUAUGCGACAUGUGGACGACACGUAAGCACGCGUCAGAAAUGGGGCAUGGUGCAAAAACGGGAGGUGUGGGACAGGGCGUGGACGACGUUAUUCGACACGUGAGACACUUUUAAACUUAAAAAUUAUAUAAAAUCUAUUAAAUUUAAAUAAAAAAAACAUUAAUAUUAAUUGCAUCCAAUCACACGCGACCAUGUUGUCUCCCACCCUCCACGCCGGUGGAAUUCUUGUCGUCCCUUCAACAACGCCGUCUACAAUGCCGCGCCCGGUGUGGUGUGUGUGGCGUGGAAAGGCAACAACGCCGCUCCACCAUGCCCACACCAUAUGGUCUAAGGAUGAGAAGUUGUAGGCAUGUAAGUUUCACAAAAGCUUUGGUUUGGAUGUGUGCUAUGUUCUCAAUGAAGCAUUGAAGCCUGAUACAAGCUUGGAAUUGUGAGUGAUCAUUACCAGACAUUUGCUUAGAUGAGUUCAGAAAAGAAAAGUACACAGCUGAUCAUUAUAUAAAAGUAUCACGUUAAAUGUUAUAUGCUGAUGUGGGCGGUGGACAUUUUGUAGGGUUGUUAUUCGCGUAUUUGGGCGGUGAAGCCACUUCUAUUUUCACAGUUACCCUGUGUCCUCGACAGACCUGCAUAACACAUCCAAUUCCCCACCGCACGGCCAUGCCUUUUUAGUUUACAAUCCAGCCGCCUCCUGCAAAAGCAAUAGCAACCGGCUCAUCUCCACGCCACACAACUCCACAGCGACACAAUGGGGCAUCGCAGGUUAAUGGUAAUAAGUCUCCAAUGAUCGUAAGUUUACGGAUGUCACAGGAGCCAUAUGAGGUGGAAGCUCGACGUAUGGUUUUGAAGCCAAGCUACAAGAGGGUCUACGGAAUAAUCACAUGUAGGAAAAGGUAGUUUUUUAAUAUGAUUACAAAGAUGCAACGAUUAUGCUACAAACCUGAAUCCAAUGAUGGGUCAAAAAUGAUUCUGGUUAUGAGUUUAAUGUAAUGAUUCAGUUUAGCGCGA